GUUUUAUUUUGCCCUAAGUGCAUUCCAUUGCUCGUCCACCCCGCAUCCCUUCUCCCCCUCUUCAAUUCCGUCGCCAACCCGAUCCCCCCUUCCGCACCGCCGCCGACCACCACGGUCCGACGCUAGCCAUGGAAAAAGAGGCAAGUGCAUUCCUUUAUGUUGGUAUGGAUUCGAUGAGGUGAGGGUUAAAGGUCUUGGAAGGGUUGGAAUGUUUGGUGCUAUGAUGUUCAAAAGUAGGAAUAAGUUGCAAGUUGAUUUCCUUUGACAUUAUUACUUCACCUGGUGAGGGUGUCACCUCCAAGGAUUUGGUAGCGGACGUGGGGACAAAGUAGCUGAGGAGACGAGAUGGAAGCAUGACAUACUGUCCGAAGACCCCUAUGAACAUGUGAAGGAAUUGUUCGUUUACUAAUCAUGUAGUUGUGGGUUGAAGGAUAUUGUUGGUUAAAGUUGAAGGAUUUACAUAAAUCGUAAAGCAGGGAAUUGAGUGGAGUUUGAGAUUUCUUUGUGAUGCAUCUCUCCAGUUGUUCCUUUGAUUUCAAAGGUUUUACGACAUUCUCUUUAAUGAA